UACGUAGGGGGCUAGCGUUGUCCGGAAUCAUUGGGCGUAAAGAGCGUGUAGGCGGCCCGGUAAGUCCGCUGUGAAAGUCGGGGGCUCAACCCUCGAAUGCCGGUGGAUACUGUCGGGCUAGAGUGCGGAAGAGGCGAGUGGAAUUCCUGGUGUAGCGGUGAAAUGCGCAGAUAUCAGGAGGAACACCAAUUGCGAAGGCAGCUCGCUGGGACGUAACUGACGCUGGGACGCGAAAGCGUGGGGAGCAAACAGG
rnacentral:rRNA from 1 species